rnacentral:rRNA from 1 species
UACGAAGGGGGCUAGCGUUGUUCGGAAUCACUGGGCGUAAAGGGCGCGUAGGCGGCUUUAUAAGUCGGGGGUGAAAGCCUGUGGCUCAACCACAGAAUUGCCUUCGAUACUGUAGAGCUUGAGACCGGAAGAGGUAAGUGGAACUGACGAGUGUAGAGGUGAAAUUCGUAGAUAUUCGCAAGAACACCAGUGGCGAAGGCGGCUUACUGGUCCGGUUCUGACGCUGAGGCGCGAAAGCGUGGGGAGCGAACAGG